CCUACGGGGGGCAGCAGUGGGGAAUAUUGGUCAAUGGACGAGAGUCUGAACCAGCCAAGUAGCGUGAAGGAUGACUGCCCUAUGGGUUGUAAACUUCUUUUAUAUGGGAAUAAAAUGUUCCACGUGUGGGAUUUUGUAUGGACCAUAUGAAUAAGGAUCGGCUAAGUCAGUGCCAGCAGCCGCGGUAAUACGGAGGAUCCGAGCGUUAUCCGGAUUUAUUGGGGUUAAAGGGAGCGUAGGUGGAUUGUUAAGUCAGUUGUGAAAGUUUGCGGCUCAACCGUAAAAUUGCAGUUGAAACUGGCAGUCUUGAGUACAGUAGAGGUGAGCGGAAUUCGUGGUGUAGCGGUGAAAUGCUUAGAUAUCACGAAGAACUCCGAUUGCGAAGGCAGUUCACUGGACUGCAACUGACACUGAGGCUCGAAAGUGUGGGUAUCAAACAGGAUUAGAUACCCGUGUAGUC
rnacentral:rRNA from 1 species